AAGGGAGCUCAGCCUGGGUUUGCAGGCACAUGUGAACCACUGAUAUCACGGCUGAUCCCAGUGGCUACACAGCGGCAAACCCGCCAAAGUAGCCUCCUCAGUAAAUGAGGUGAAGGGAGCAAGUGUGUGUGAUCAUUUUGUUGAUCGUGUGUCUGCGGGCACACUCGGGGGGGGGAGGACUACCAGUAAUGCACCGCUCGGGGUGGGGGGCACCGCAUGGUGGAGCUUCCCUGCGCCUUACCCCUAGUGCUGCCGGGUGAGCUGCGGACGGACUGCUGGUGAGCCAUCACUCAUCUGGGUGCGCGAUCCACCCGCCCAGGAAAGGCAAGAAAUCAUCUCGGUGAAGAUGAGGUACCUAACCAACUGCUGCCAGCGGAGACAUUGCUACUGGUGAGAACCUGUGAGAAACAGGAAGCCCUUGAUGUUGCUGCUGCUGCUCCAGCAACCUGCAGAGAAAAGCCACUUCUCCUCCUACCACUGCUGCAGCAGCAGCCUCUGAGCACACGUGGUGGACGGAGUUUCGGCACCUAAGUGUUGGUAUUCCUUGCCAAACACCUCCAGCCAGCAGGAUUGUUAUGACGGGUGCAGUAUCUUCUUCUGCAUGAUCCCCACAGCACAUUGAGGUCAUCUGAAGAGAUCCGUCUCCAGUUACCACUGGUACAUCUGUGCUUGAAACAACAACAACAACAACAACAAAGACUUCUGUUAAGAAAUUAUAAAAUGGAUCUAAUACGCCAAUCCAUUGUGUGUUUAUUUAGAAGCAAGCCUCACUGUGCUAAAUGGCUUUUACUCUUAAAAUGGCUCAAGGAAAUCAGAGAAGACAUCUGGAGACACCACCAGGCUGAUUUCAUUUCACAUAACAACCUCUAAAGACUAAUGGAGGAGAAAGCUGCCAAGCCAAGUGCUUCCAGAGAAAAUGUUCGGAAAUACCUGCAAGAUAUUUUGGUUGCUUGGACUAACACAGUGGCAUUCUUUGAUGCUUGCUUUCAUUCUCCAUUACCAAAGUCGUAAUAAUCUUUAAGCAUUUUGGCUUUACAUAAUAAUGCCUUACGAGGUUGUGCCAUCUGCAUGAUUUUUUAAGAACACGGCAGUUCCUUUCAAAAAUUGUAAUUGCACUACUUGA